rnacentral:rRNA from 1 species
GANACCUGCGGCNGCCUACACAUGCAAGUCGAGGGGUAGAAGAAGCUUGCUUUUUUGAGACCGGCGCACGGGUGAGUAACGCGUAUGCAACCCACCUUAUACAGGGGAAUAGCCCGAAGAAAUUCGGAUUAAUGCUCCAUGGUUUAUCGAUAUGGCAUCGUAUUGAUAAUAAAGAUUUAUCGGUAUAAGAUGGGCAUGCGUAUCAUUAGCUAGUUGGUGUGGUAACGGCAUACCAAGGCAACGAUGAUUAGGGGUCCUGAGAGGGAGAUCCCCCACACUGGUACUGAGACACGGACCAGACUCCUACGGGAGGCAGCAGUGAGGAAUAUUGGUCAAUGGAGGCAACUCUGAACCAGCCAUGCCGCGUGCAGGAUGACGGUCCUAUGGAUUGUAAACUGCUUUUGUACAGGAAGAAACCUCCCUACGAGUAGGGACUUGACGGUACUGUAAGAAUAAGGAUCGGCUAACUCCGUGCCAGCAGCCGCGGUAAUACGGAGGAUCCGAGCGUUAUCCGGAAUUAUUGGGUUUAAAGGGUUCGUAGGCGGCUUUGUAAGUCAGUGGUGAAAUUUCCUAGCUUAACUAGGACACUGCCAUUGAUACUGCAGAGCUUGAAUAAUAUGGAAGUAACUAGAAUAUGUAGUGUAGCGGUGAAAUGCUUAGAUAUUACAUGGGAAUACCAAUUGCGAAGGCAGGUUACUACGUAUUUAUUGACGCUGAUGAACGAAAGCGUGGGGAGCGAACAGGAUUAGAUACCCUGGUAGUCCACGCCGUAAACGAUGGAUACUAGCUGUUCGGUUUUCGGACUGAGUGGCUNAGCGAAAG